rnacentral:rRNA from 1 species
GUGCUUAACACAUGCAAGUCGAACGAAGCGGUUACAGGGAUUCCCUUCGGGGAGGAACGGUAAUUGUCUGAGUGGCGGACGGGUGAGUAACGCGUGGGCAACCUGCCCCAUACCGGGGGAUAACACUUAGAAAUAGGUGCUAAUACCGCAUAAGCGCACAGCUUCGCAUGAAGCAGUGUGAAAAACUCCGGUGGUAUACGAUGGUUCCGCGUCUGAUUAGCUAGUUGGUGAGGUAAAAGCCCACCAAGGCAACGAUCAGUAGCCGGCCUGAGAGGGUGAACGGCCACAUUGGGACUGAGACACGGCCCAGACUCCUACGGGAGGCAGCAGUGGGGGAUAUUGCACAAUGGGGGAAACCCUGAUGCAGCGACGCCGCGUGAGUGAAGAAGUAUUUCGGUACGUAAAGCUCUAUCAGCAGGGAAGAAAAAAAGUCCACAGGACUUUGGACGGUACCUGACUAAGAAGCCCCGGCUAACUACGUGCCAGCAGCCGCGGUAAUACGUAGGGGGCAAGCGUUAUCCGGAUUUACUGGGUGUAAAGGGAGCGUAGACGGCUGUGCAAGUCUGAAGUGAAAUGCCGGGGCUCAACCCCGGAACUGCUUUGGAAACUGUACAGCUAGAGUGCAGGAGGGGUGAGCGGAAUUCCUAGUGUAGCGGUGAAAUGCGUAGAUAUUAGGAGGAACACCGGUGGCGAAGGCGGCUCACUGGACUGUAACUGACGUUGAGGCUCGAAAGCAUGGGUAGCGAACAGGAUUAGAUACCCUGGUAGUCCAUACCGUAAACGAUGAGUGCUAGGUGUUGGAGGGUUUCCGCCCUUCAGUGCCGGAGCUAACGCAUUAAGCACUCCGCCUGGGGAGUACGACCGCAAGGUUGAAACUCAAAGGAAUUGACGGGGGCCCGCACAAGCGGUGGAGCAUGUGGUUUAAUUCGAAGCUACGCGAAGAACCUUACCAGGUCUUGACAUCUUGCGCUAACCUUAGAGAUAAGGCGUUCCCUUCGGGGACGCAAUGACAGGUGGUGCAUGGUCGUCGUCAGCUCGUGUCGUGAGAUGUUGGGUUAAGUCCCGCAACGAGCGCAACCCUUGUUACUAGUUGCCAGCAUUAAGUUGGGCACUCUAGUGAGACUGCCGGUGACAAACCGGAGGAAGGUGGGGACGACGUCAGAUCAUCAUGCCCCUUAUGACCUGGGCUACACACGUGCUACAAUGGACGGUACAACGAGUCGCAAGCUCGCGAGAGUAAGCUAAUCUCUUAAAGCCGUUCUCAGUUCGGACUGUAGGCUGCAACUCGCCUACACGAAGUCGGAAUCGCUAGUAAUCGCGGAUCAGCAUGC